rnacentral:rRNA from 1 species
UACGAAGGGGGCUAGCGUUGCUCGGAAUCACUGGGCGUAAAGCGCACGUAGGCGGCUUGCUAAGUCAGGGGUGGAAUCCUGGAGCUCAACUCCAGAACUGCCUUUGAUACUGGCGAGCUUCGAGUCCGGGAGAGGUGAGUGGAACUGCGAGUGUAGAGGUGAAAUUCGUAGAUAUUCGCAAGAACACCAGUGGCGAAGGCGGCUCACUGGCCCGGUACUGACGCUGAGGUGCGAAAGCGUGGGGAGCAAACAGG